rnacentral:rRNA from 1 species
AAGUUUUUGCAGUUAAAAAGCUCGUAGUUUGAUUUAGGGUUUAUUUUUAAAAUGGAACUUAUCCUUUCUGGUAUUUCUAUGAUUGGAUUUGUUCCUAUAAACCUUUAUGGUUAAUUAAAAACGUGUGUUCUAUCAGGGAAAGGGGGAUUUAUUCGUAUCCUUUUACUUUGAAAAAAUUAGAGUGUUCAAAGCAGGCAUUUCUAAUUUUGUCUGGAAUAGUUGAGCACGGGAUAAUGAAAUGUGACUCUUAUUCUGGUUUAUUGGGUUUUUAGAAUUCAAAAGUAGAUUUUUUUUCUAGUAGCAAUAUUAGAGAAAAGAUCUUUUUGGAGUAAUGAUUAAUAGAAAUAGCUUGGGGGUGUUGAUAUUUCAUUGUCAGAGGUGAAAUUCUUGGAUUUAUGAAAGAUAAACUUAUGCGAAAGCUUUCAUCAAGAGUAUUUUCAUUAACAAAGAACGACAGAUUAAGGAUCGAAGACGAUCAGAUACCGUCAUAGUUUAAUCUAUAAAUUAUGCCGACCAGGGGUUAGAGAAUGUGUUAAACUGAAUCAAGUUCACAAGGGCUUGGAUCAAUUACUUCUUUAGAAUCUUUGUGAGAAAUCAUUGAGUGUUUGGGUUCUGGGGGUAGUAUGGUCGCAAGACUGAUACUUAAACGAAUUUGACGGAAAGCCACCCACCAGGAGUGGAGCCUGCUACUUAAUUUUGACUCAACACGGGGGAAACUCACCAAGUCCGGACAUGAUUAGGAAUUGACAGAUUAAAAGCUCUUACUUGAUUCUAUGGGCUGGUGGUGCAUGGUCGUUCUUAAUUGGUGAAAUAAUCUGUCUUUUUAAAUUCCCAAAAACUAACAAGACCCCAGCCUAUUAAAUAGUAACCCGAAUAAAUUAUUCAAACGGGAAUGAAGUGGAAGAAUUCCUUUUCUAUUUGGCUGAAGAUUUUUCCUUCAGUAAAAUAAGGGAAAUUCUUGCCCGGGAUCUCUUUUAUUUUAUUCCAGAUUUCUCAGUUACUUUCUUAAAAGGAAAUUAUUAACCUUA